UGUUUCUGAAUAAACAAUUAAUGUAAUUCUUACUAAACUAUAUAAAACAUUUAACCAAAAGCUAUGUACAAUGUGCCAGAUAAAUAUAACUGACAAACACAAAUAAAACAUGAAUGCAAGGCCAAGAGCACCCCCUUUUCUAUGCACUGGCCGUUUGAAUGAAUAAUUGCCAUGAGAAAAUGUUUAUAAAGUAUGUGCAUGAAGAAUUGAAUGUUACGCAUAAUAAUAUGAAUAAUUGAACACUAUAAGACACCUUGAAUAGUCGAAUGAAUGAAGAACACAUCAUUUUCUGUUUUGUCGAAAUAAACGCUACUUCUAUAAGGGGAGUAACUCUGCAGUGAUAUGAACAAUGACCCAAAAAUAAAAGAACUUAAAGUACUAAAAGAAAACCAUAACUAACUAUAUACAAAAUUGCUUCUAAAUGCUUAAACGAACUAAAAUAGUUAAAUGCCUGAAAAUGUCGCAUCGUUUAAUUAUCUAAAGGAAUAUAGAUUGAAUGGAAUUGAAUAAAGCAUAUCGAAACACGCACAUUAACAUAAAACGUAUUGAAACACGCAUAUUAAAAAUAACAAAACUAUUUACAAAAACGAAUUGAAUACUUAUUCUGAACUCUUAAAACUAUAGAAAAUACUUGAAUUAAAAGAAUAUACUCUUGUAACUA
rnacentral:lncRNA from 1 species